rnacentral:rRNA from 1 species
AUUGAACGCUGGCGGCAUGCCUAACACAUGCAAGUCGAACGGCAGCACGGCAGUAGCAAUACUGUGGGUGGCGAGUGGCGGACGGGUGAGGAAUACGUCGGAAUCUGCCCAGUCGUGGGGGAUAACUAGCCGAAAGGUUAGCUAAUACCGCAUACGACCGAGAGGUGAAAGCGGGGGACCGCAAGGCCUCGCGCGAUUGGAUGAGCCGACGUCGGAUUAGCUAGUUGGAGGGGUAAAGGCCCACCAAGCCUUCGAUCUGUAGCUGGUCUGAGAGGACGACCAGCCACACUGGGACUGAGACACGGCCCAGACUCCUACGGGAGGCAGCAGUGGGGAAUUUUGGACAAUGGGCGCAAGCCUGAUCCAGCCAUGCCGCGUGCGGGAAGAAGGCCU